rnacentral:lncRNA from 1 species
GCUCUUACUCAGCGGAGGCCUCCGGAGCCGCCGCGAAGCCCCUCCGAGGAACCCCUUCCUUACCUGCGCAGUCCCCGCCGCACCUGUACCUGCCGCAGCCCCGCACCUGGCCGAGCCGAAGAGCUGCCGCCGGGAGCCGGCGCUUCCCUCCUUGUGGGAGGUUGGGGGGACCCGGACGCGAGCGAGUUCCUGAACCAGGAGCCACGCACCCAGAAGUGGAGCUGCGGGUGGGGGGUGGGGUGGGGGAGGGGAUUCUAUUUUUGGAGUUAAGUUGAGAGUAAAGGGUGUUUCUCCCUCUUAGUCCUCUUAACGUAUUCAGAGCGGAGAGGCUGGGGCAGGGGGUGAUGAGAGGGCGCAGAAAGGCCACCCGCCUCUAAAGGUCAGACUGGAGAGCUUUCCCAGCUCAACCGCAACUCCGGUAUUGUAGCCCUUUGCCGCGCCCAGCUCUGCUCCUGCUGUCCCCUUUGGCAGGCCCACCCUGGUCACAUUCCCACACACACCCGGCUGCUCUCCCCAUUUGAUUCUUGCUCCGACUGGAAGUAAGCAGGGUUUGGCGAGGAGUAGAGACAGAACAGUGUGUGUGUGUGUGUGUGUGUGUGUGUGUGCGCGCGCGCGCGUGCGUGUAAUGCCCCUAAGGGGUUAAAUUCUGUGCCGCCUUCUCCUCCUGUCAGGCUGUGCGUGGGCAAAGCCUUGGGUGGGUGAACAGGCGACAUAUGGGUGAUGUUCUGAGCCCACCGAGCCCCACCACCUGCCCUAACCCUCAGCCAUCUGACGCUGGAGUCUCCCCACACCCCGAACUUGGAGCUCAGUCCAAUCAGGCUCCUCCUCUGAGGGGCUUGGAGGUGAAGGAGAGCGGAAUUGUGGACACGGAGGGGGCAUUCUCCAGGGGGAUUCAGAAGCCAGAGGAGGAAGAGCUUUCCUAUGACCCAUAGCUGAACAGGAGCCCUCAGGCAAUUGGUGCGGAAGGAUCAGCGAAGGGGCUCGAGGUGUUGUCUCCAUCCCUUGUGGCCAAGGAAUGCAGUAGUGGAACUUUCACGCCUCGGGGUGGCCGGAGGGAGAGGAGGCAGAGAGGAGAAAGCGAGUGGAGAUGGAGAGGGGAGGGAAGGAGUCACAUUCAAGAGACCAGCUCCAGCAGGACCCUCUGCUCUUGUCCCUCAUUCAGUAAGCAUUUGCUGACUUCCUACCUGAGGCCAGGUGCCUGGGACCCAGCCCUGGGGCGGUAAGGGGCAGGUGCUGACCAGCCCAGCACUGGGGGUUGGGAGGAGCCCAUCACGAUGUCCAGGAAGGCUUCCUGGCAGAAUUGACUCUAAGUGGGGACCUGAAGGAUCAGUAGAAUUAGCCACAGGGCAGGGGGGGGAGGGGGGGAAUGAACAGCACAGGGCUCAGCAAGUGCUGGACCCAAGAGCAGAAGCAGCAGCGUGACGCACCCAGGAAACUGAAAGUAGCUCGGGUGUUCAGCACAUGGAGAGUGCAGGGGCGAGGUGAGCUGGAGAGGUAGGGAGAGAUGGCGCCAGAAGGGCCUGCCCAGGCUGCCAUGGCAACUCCUGUUACUUGGGACCAGAGCCAUCAGCCUCCGCUUGACUCAGGGCGGGGCUGCCAGAUUUAGCAAAUGAAAAUACAGGUCGCUCAGAUUUGAAUUUCAGGUAAGCCACGAAUAUCUGUCAAGUAUAAUAUAUAUCCUAGAGGUCAUGUUGUGGCUCGGCAGUAACAAACCCGACUAGCAUCCAUAAGGAUGCUGGUUCUAUCCCCGGCCUCGCUCAGUAGGUUAAGGAUCCAAUGUUCCUGUGAGCUGUGGUGUAGCCCAGCAGCUAUAGCUCC